UGCCUAAUACAUGCAAGUCGAGCGGAUCUUCAUUAGCUUGCUUUUGAAGAUCAGCGGCGGACGGGUGAGUAACACGUGGGCAACCUGCCUGUAAGACUGGGAUAACUUCGGGAAACCGGAGCUAAUACCGGAUAAUCCUUUCCCUCACAUGAGGGAAAGCUGAAAGACGGUUUCGGCUGUCACUUACAGAUGGGCCCGCGGCGCAUUAGCUAGUUGGUGAGGUAACGGCUCACCAAGGCAACGAUGCGUAGCCGACCUGAGAGGGUGAUCGGCCACACUGGGACUGAGACACGGCCCAGACUCCUACGGGAGGCAGCAGUAGGGAAUCUUCCGCAAUGGACGAAAGUCUGACGGAGCAACGCCGCGUGAACGAUGAAGGCUUUCGGGUCGUAAAGUUCUGUUGUCAGGGAAGAACAAGUACCGGAGUAACUGCCGGUACCUUGACGGUACGUGACCAGAAAGCCACGGCUAACUACGUGCCAGCAGCCGCGGUAAUACGUAGGUGGCAAGCGUUGUCCGGAAUUAUUGGGCGUAAAGCGCGCGCAGGCGGUUCCUUAAGUCUGAUGUGAAAGCCCCCGGCUCAACCGGGGAGGGUCAUUGGAAACUGGGGGAACUUGAGUGCAGAAGAGGAGAGC
rnacentral:rRNA from 1 species